rnacentral:misc_RNA from 1 species
AGAUGCCCAAAUAAGAACCCUAGGAGACUUGAACCCGAUCCGCGAAAAAACAACCCGGUUAAAGUGGUAGCCUCUCCGACACCACUCGCCCAAUAAGAACAAGCCAUCCACCACGAGGAAGAUAAGGAAAACCAAUCCAAGGCCAUAGCACCAAAAAAGAAAAAAAGGAGGUUUUUCGGAUGAUAACAACCUCAUUGUGAUUUGCAAGCCAAAGAGGACCCAAAGUUACAAGCCAAGAUCAAAGGGUGUCGGACCAGUUGAAACAAAUAACACCGCAUGUCAGCUUACGGGAGUUGAGGCAGAGCUUAGUCAACAGAGAGCAAAGUGUCUAAGCCGGCAAGAGACCCCCAAGGAUACAUUCAUCUAAGAAACAGUAAACUCCCAAAGCUAGAAAGCAUAAAAACCACAGAAACUAAUGACAAAACCUGCAUGCACAAACCCAAGGCCAGACAAAAGCUUCACCAUGGUAGAUCAAAUGAAGAGCUCUAUCCAAUAGGCACCAUCUACCACCAAAUAUCCAAUUCUUAUUGUACAAAUCACCCACCGGAGAGGGGAGAGCAAGACCCACAGUCGGGAUAAGGAAGAGGACGUCUCUUUGCCCCGAUGGGGUAGGGAAAACCACGAAUCCGGCAAGAGGAGAGGUUAACCCUCAAGAACCCAAAAAAACACCGAGAGAAAAGAUGGAGAUAUUGGCUGCGUAACGAAAAGGCGAUUAUUAUUGAGUUUCUUCUUCAAUAAGUUUGAAAUAUACAUCUUUAAUUACCAAUCUAAGAUUAAAAUCUCAAAUUUCCAGAUCUGUAUGCUACCUCAUAAAUAUGACAGUGCUAAUAGAGACCUCCAUUUGGGAACCUAAUCUUGCACUCUAUCUCUUGCUUGUUCUCUAUCGCUUUCUUUCCUCACGCCUCAAGAACCAAUACCACCAACAACAAACCUCAAUAUACAUCUCCCUUCGAUCAUGUCAUCUUUUCUUAUUUUUUCCUUUGUUUCCAACUAAAGUUUCUUCUCUUCCGCUUCAGGUUAGUCAUCUAUUUUACUAAUCGGAAAAGCGUCUGAUUUCAAUGGGAGAUGGAAAAAUGAAAAUUUCAUGAUAGCAGCUUUAAAUUUCUAUUUUUUAUAUAUUUUU